AGCAGGCGGAGGGUGAGUGACAGCGGGGCGACGAUCAGCGCUGGCUUCAGUGGGAAGCGAAUCAGCCGUAGGUGGGAAAUGAGGGUCACGUCUCCGGUCUCCCGAGGGUACGGGAAGGAACGUGGCCGAGGUCCUCUGAGGCACGUGGAAGAGCCCUCAAGUGAGUUGUGCUGUGGAAGUGCAACACAACCACCGGAGCACCAGCCGAAUGCUUGAAAGGAAAAAACAUCAAGAGAUCAUUUAAUGCACUUCUGGAAUGCGUUCAGAUAAUACACCAUGAAGGCAGAACUCAGCGUGGCCAGGAGUGUGACUGGAUCACAAAUAAUUCUGCACAAUGGUCUUGCUGUGAUAUUAACAUGCUAGUUAGUCACUACUAUUGGGUAAACAUACUAAAAAAUGAACUACAUGAAGAAUUUCAUAACCUCAAAAUUCAGAGACCAUGAGACACUUUGAUGAUCAUACUGCCCAUUAUAUUCUGAAUGUACAGAGAAUGUAGGUGUCACAUUUACCAAAUAAGAAUAGGGACUAGAUAGAAAAGGACAAAGAUACCAGCAAGCCAUAUUCAGAAUCAACUCUUUAAUAAUAACUGUAUACUUCAGAGAGCAGAAUGAUGUAAGCAACACGGGAAUUCCUACGAACUGUGCUUUAUUUCACUAAGCAUUUGGUUUUUGUUGUCAAAGCAUAUAAAAAGAUGAAAAGAAUCAGUUGUCUACAACUUUUAGGAUAGCAUCUCUGACAGUGGGUAGGAACCUCCCAGUAGGUCAUCCUUUUGUAUCAACUAUAUUGUAAUUCAACUUAAGCAGUUGUCUAUCUACCUUGUUCCAGGUCACCUAUAGACAAGACCUACUGUGUCAACUGAUUGAGCAGCCAGGAAGAAAAGCCCUUUGCAUUAUGAAUGUUAUGACACAAGAGCUAGAUGGUUUACUUGCUCAUUUAUCAGAAAUAGAAACAAGUAUAAGAGCAUAAAGAAAUGAAGAGAUGCAUUCACAGUGCUAUAAAAACUUACUGAAAUACAUAAAAUAUGAGAUUUCCUUUACUGUAAUAAAGAAUCACUUGCUAUAAU
ensembl:lncRNA